rnacentral:rRNA from 1 species
CAAUAGCGUAUAUUAAAGUUGUUGCAGUUAAAAGCUCGUAGUUGGAUUUCUGGCGGGAGUCCGGGUCGGCCUUAACAGGUUGCACUGUUGUGACGUCUCGCCGUUUCGAGGGGAAUGGGCUCGCUAUUAGGUUAGUGUGUUCGGGAACCUCGUCGUUUACUGUGAAAAAUUUAGAGUGUUCAAAGCAGGCCUUUGCUGUGAAUACAUUAGCAUGGAAUAAUAAGAUAGGACUGUAGUGCUAUUUUGUUGGUUUGCGUACUAUGGUAAUGAUUAAUAGGGAUAGUUGGGGUGAUUCAUAUUCAAUUUGAUUCAGAGGUGAAAAUUUCUUUGGAUUUAUGGAAGAUGAACUACUGCGAAAGCAUUUACCAAGGAUGUUU